UACAGAGGUCUCAAGCGUUGUUCGGAUUCAUUGGGCGUAAAGCGUACGCAGGCGGCUAUGUAAGACAGGUGUGAAAUCCCCGGGCCUAACCUGGGAACUGCAUUUGUGACUGCAUAGCUAGAGUCCGUCAGAGGGGGGUGGAAUUCCACGUGUAGCAGUGAAAUGCGUAGAGAUGUGGAGGAGCACCGAUGGCGAAGGCAGCCCCCUGGGAUGAGACUGACGCUCAUGUACGAAAGCGUGGGGAGCAAACAGG
rnacentral:rRNA from 1 species